rnacentral:rRNA from 1 species
CAGUCGCCGCGGGAAAACGGAGGGUGCAAGCGUUAAUCGGAAUUACUGGGCGUAAAGCGCACGCAGGCGGUCUGUCAAGUCGGAUGUGAAAUCCCCGGGCUCAACCUGGGAACUGCAUUCGAAACUGGCAGGCUAGAGUCUUGUAGAGGGGGGUAGAAUUCCAGGUGUAGCGGUGAAAUGCGUAGAGAUCUGGAGGAAUACCGGUGGCGAAGGCGGCCCCCUAGACAAAGACUGACGCUCAGGUGCGAAAGCGUGGGGAGCAAACAGGAUUAGAGACCCCGGUAGUCCCUGUCUCUUAUAC